ACGUAGGGUCCGAGCGUUGUCCGGAAUUACUGGGCGUAAAGAGCUCGUAGGUGGUUUGUCGCGUUGUUCGUGAAAACUCACAGCUUAACUGUGGGCGUGCGGGCGAUACGGGCAGACUUGAGUACUGCAGGGGAGACUGGAAUUCCUGGUGUAGCGGUGAAAUGCGCAGAUGUCAGGAGGAACACCGAGGGCGAAGGCAGGUGUCUGGGCUGUAACUGACGCUGAGGAGCGAAAGCAUGGGGAGCGAACAGG
rnacentral:rRNA from 1 species